GCUAACGAUAUUCAAAAAGUACAUACCUCAAAGAAAACGAUGACGCGAGUUAUCGUCUCUAACGUUCGAGGACUACAAAAAACACUCGGAUUGUAGGCAACAGUUUACUUCCUGGGAUUGGUGACGUAGAUAAGACCAACAUUAUCAUAGUUCAGCCCUCUCUGCUUUGCUUGGGUACGCCCUCAAAGACGGGGGUGGGGAGCGCCGAGUCAGAAGAGAGCUAAAAUGGCGGAGGUUGUGAGCUCCUGCUUUGACUCUGUUUGCAAACUCUUGUUUCAUUGUUUAAGCGAUUAAAUCUCUCGAGUAGACGCUGUCUCUUUAGAUGCGAGGGCAAAAUAGCACUUUAUGGACUUCCACAGAGGACAUCAUGUUUAAUACGGUUCCGGAAAAAUCCAGUCAGAAGUUGUUCACGGAGUUUUCACAAUAACUGCUUCUCAUGAACCGAAGCUGGAUUUGCGCGAAGUCUCCUCUUGAAAGUUGGAUUACUGUGCACUUCUGGAUCACAGGCUAUUCGCAGCUGGACACAUCCUUCUACACUGUAUGCAAACAUGCAACAUCAUUACACACAGUACAAGGAGUCAGACUGGCAUAUGAGGAGCAAAGGAACCCAGGCAGUAGCAUCGUUUCACAAUGUUUCCAUCACCAUCAUCAGUGGAUGCCUUUGCCGUCCGUAGCCUGAGAUUUCAGAUUUGCAGCAAAAUAAAAUUUAUUUUCUCAUUUAUUGGAAUGCUGUGCAGGUAUUUGUACCUUGCAGCCAUCCAUUACAAUGUCACCAAGCCGUAACAAAAGCAGGAGAGGGAAAGUACAAGGCUAUGUUCCCAAAACACACAAGUGACAUACCUUAUGUGGAGGAUGUGAUCAGGCUUGUGUUUGAUGAGGUAUUUGAAGAUAAGCUGAAGGAAGCCCUGAUUCCAAUGGACCUGGCAUCACAGUUUGAGAGACCUUCAAAGGAGGACGUGAUUGCAUGCCAUCUUCAGUGCAG